GAACACAACUGUUUUAUGACUCGAAACACCCUUCUGACAAAUACAAGAGAAGGAAAUAGAUGGAGCAAAGGUUUUAUGAACUAGUGGUUGUCCGUUGACGGGUAGGAAGUGAUGUUUAGUCGAGAUCAGGGGAGAACCAGCAUCUGCAGGAGGGAGCAGGCAGAGAACAGCUGACCGUAAUCAGACCCCCUUCAUCGUUUCACAUGGGAGGAAGACUCUGCUGAAUCCACAGAGCAGGAAUAUCAAUUCAUGUUCCGUUUUCAGUUUUAACUUUUUCCUGGCUGAAUGCAGAUCAGAGAGCAUUCCUUCUUCAUAAGCAAGUGAUUUCUUCUGUAAAUAGGACUUGA